GGUGGGUUGCCCGAGUGGUUAGGGGCCGGUCUGCAAAACCGUUCACACGGGUUCAAAUCCCGUACCCACCUCCA
rnacentral:tRNA from 1 species